UCUGGGGUUGUCCUGGCUUUCCUGCACCCUACUCUCACCCGCUGCUUGAAGGUGGGAGGCUUCAACUGUCCCAAUGGUCUUGGGGCCUGACGUCAUACAGAACGAGCUCACACACAGCGGCAGCCAAAAGCCUGUGACCCACAGCCAAGCCUCUGCUGGUGCAGCCAGGGGACCCUCCCAGGUGGAAGGUGCCCGAGACAACAAGACUAGCCGACGAGAUUUCCCCUCCUCUUUUACAGAAGCACACAGAGCUCAAAAACAGGGAUCAGCGAACGUGCUGUCAACAGCCAGUACUCUAGCCUUUGCAGGCCAGACGGUCUCUGCUGUGACUUCUCCACUCUGCCGCCGUAGGGCUAAAGCAGCCAUAGGGAAGAUGGAAGGAACUGGGAGUUGGCUGUGUCGCAGUAAAACUUUAUUUACCAACAUAGGUGGCAGCCUAAAUUUGGCCCGUUCAGCUCCUGCUCCAAAGAGCAAACGAGCAUCAUUUUUCUAAAAAGAAACUUAGAUUUUUUAAAACCCUUUCGACUAAUGUCAUUAUCAAAACGAAAAAACUCCACCAAAUGUUUCAGAGCCUGCACUAUUCUCCUUCCUCGCUCCUCACAGAUAACCUUUUUCUUGGAAGGGCCACAUGAGCUUCAGUGUACCGUGCUCAGAAAUAAAAAUCUCAGAUUUAGUAAUGAUUAACCCACCUACACGGCGGGGGGAGAAAGCAAACCACGGGACCACGUUGAAAAGGGUGUCAAGCCCAAAGGAGGAGUUUCUCCCGUGGCUUCUGUUCACACUGCACACCUUCUGCCACUGCAUUCUCUUCCAGUUCCUUCCACCACACCGUGGUCUCUGAGGCCCAGAGGCACCGCCGACCUAUAGCAAAGAGUCCCCCACCCCCACCCCACCCCCGAGCAGCUGCAGGGCUCUCUGGAGAGAACAAGGAGGGAAUCUGGACGUGGACGAACUGCAGUCCGUCGUUUGGAGCAUGGAAGCUCCAGUGCCACUGGCUGUCCGACCUGGGGACGGCACAAGCUCUCGGAGCCCGCCUUGCCCCAUCUGGGUAACCCCCUCCCCCCACCUGCAGAGCGCUCAUGUUCAUUCCCAAGGUCAUGGAUGUGCACGCCCUUCAGAAACGUUAGCUAUCUUAUCCUGAAUGAAGAAUGCAGAGGCAACCGGUUAAUACUAAGGCUGUGCUGAGGCCACUGAUUUCUGGCCUCAGUGAGAGAGAGGCUGGGGGCACCGAUGACCAAAGACCUCAUCGGGUGAGCUGAUGAGGGACAAAAUACACACUCAGGUCGCAUUAGGCCCACACGCUCUAGUUUAUCUUGGUGUACUCCUGCAAGAAUCUGGGGAAAUGCACGUACCCACGACUGCCACAUGACCGACCUGACAGAAGAACCAAGAGAGAUCUGUACAAACCUACAAAAAAGAAAACGCAAUCAGUGAGAUCGUUGUAGAGAAAAGGUUUGGUGCUACAAUUCCAGCCCGGAAUCAAAGACCAGGCCUGUGGUCCUGAUUCUGCCACUGACUGGACCCAUUUCCUCUUCUGUGAGGGAGUGUAAUGAUACCUGCUCUUGAACCCUAACGAAGGAGAAAUGCCUUUAUCAGCUGACUGACGCCAUGGACGCGAGCAACGUAUCCUGAGAGAGAGACAGAGACAAGCCAUGACUCGGUGAUGAUGGAAAUAAGCCUUGCCAAGUUCACCACACCAGGAGGACAAAAGGCAACCCUUCUGCCCUUCUUCAGGGGUCGCGGUUUAGGUUAUCCAUAGACCUUAUGGGAGAAGUAACGACUUUCAAAUUCUCUUCCUUUUUUUUUUUUUUAAAGCCAUGUGAACCAAAAGAAGCACAAUCUAUCUAAUGGUUGGAUCAACUACCUUAAGGAAACCGCAACGCCCCCUAAUUCUACAUAUGAAAGAAAACUAUUUUACAUGAAAACAUGGGAUCUAAAUGUCCCUCUUAGAAAUGUGUCUUUUUGUGGCUAAGUGAGAGCUACUCAGAAUUCGGCUGAAACUCAAAAUUGGGAGACCGUCUGGAAAGUAUUCUGGGGUCAGGAAAUGGGGCAGAUAAAUGUCAAAGCAAAGACAGCCAUAUUUCUUACCGUGCUCCCUUCGUGUCCAUCCUGUGCGGGUUAGAGCCUCGAUGUUUGUAAAACAUCACAGGCGGGGUUGGGCGGGGGGCGGUGCACAGGCAAAUGGUGCCUAAUAAACCGACUUGUGAAGCUCUGGCGUGGGAAGCUGGAACCGAGGAGACAAGAAAUAAAAGAGGGUGAAAGGAAGAUGAAAUUGAUCUGUGUUCUAAAGCCCUUCUGCUUACAGUAUUACUACUUUAAGAACAAAAUGUGAGUGGCAUUUAGACACUUACUGCAAUUUGACAUAGGGAUUUCGUGUCUAUGGAUUCUACUAGUAAAUAAUUUGAGCUUGUC